CCGACCCCUGAAAGUCUCGCGAGAGCUGGAAACAAGUCCCAUUGGGGCUGCGCCUAUGGGUUUGCGAGGCUGACAGUUUCCUAGGCGUCACCCCAAGCCGUGACCAGGCCUUUCCUCCUCACCAAAGUGCGACAUUGGCCCUGGAAAUCCCCCGGGCAAGAGAGGGUUGUAAAUUCAGCUUCCUUAACGUCGCAGAUUAGAAUGUUCUACACCACAGCACCUGCAUAAAUAAAGGUCUUUUAGAUGCC
rnacentral:lncRNA from 1 species